GGUGGCUCAGUGGUAGAGUGCUUGCCUCGCAAACAUGAGGUCCUGGGUUCGAUUCCUCAGUACCA
rnacentral:tRNA from 1 species